UACGGAGGGUGCAAACGUUGCUCGGAAUCAUUGGGCGUAAAGCGCACGUAGGCGGCCUGAUAAGUCGGGCGUGAAAGCCCUGGGCUCAACCCAGGAAGUGCACUCGAAACUGUCAGGCUUGAAUAUGGAAGAGGGUCGCGGAAUUCCCGGUGUAGAGGUGAAAUUCGUAGAUAUUGGGAAGAACACCAGUGGCGAAGGCGGCUCACUGGCCCGUAACUGACGCUGAGGUGCGAAAGCGUGGGGAGCAAACAGG
rnacentral:rRNA from 1 species